GAUGAACGCUGGCGGCGUGCUUAACACAUGCAAGUCGAACGGGAUCCCAGGAGCUUGCUCCUGGGUGAGAGUGGCGAACGGGUGAGUAAUGCGUGACCGACCUGCCCCAUACACCGGAAUAGCUCCUGGAAACGGGUGGUAAUGCCGGAUGCUCCAGUUGACCGCAUGGUCCUCUGGGAAAGAUUCAUCGGUAUGGGAUGGGGUCGCGUCCUAUCAGCUUGAUGGCGGGGUAACGGCCCACCAUGGCUUCGACGGGUAGCCGGCCUGAGAGGGCGACCGGCCACAUUGGGACUGAGAUACGGCCCAGACUCCUACGGGAGGCAGCAGUGGGGAAUAUUGCACAAUGGGCGCAAGCCUGAUGCAGCGACGCCGCGUGCGGGAUGACGGCCUUCGGGUUGUAAACCGCUUUUGACUGGGAGCAAGCCCUUCGGGGUGAGUGUACCUUUCGAAUAAGCACCGGCUAACU
rnacentral:rRNA from 1 species